rnacentral:lncRNA from 1 species
ACUUGAUACAUACGUUGGGUGUGAAGUAGUUAUGGUCGCUGGUUGCAAAUUUACGUUCGAUCACAAUGCCACGGCAGGAGGACAAUGUCGAUUAUUCCUUGCAGCUCGCAGCAUUACUGUUUCUAACAGCGCAUUCAUAGCCCGGCCGGCCAUAUAGAGAGAGAGCAGUAUGUUUCAAAGACGCCAACAAGAAAAAACAAAAGAUAAUAUAAAUACGUCGCCAAGAUACUAGACAUGCAUGAAUCUAACAUAUGAGUUAGGAACUACUCCCUCCAUUCCCAUUUAUCAGGCGUACACGCAUAUCAAGAUUCAAAAUUUACAAGAUCAAUGAUUUAGCUAAUAUUUUUUUACUUUUGUAAUGUAAAUUUGAUAUGGUUGGGUUUGUAAUAAAAUGUAUCCUCCAAUGAUUAUAAAUUUAUAACAAUAAACAAUAUAAUACAAGAUAAAUGAAUGGCUAAAGUCCAAUUUAGGAGACCGUGUCAUGUUAUACCAUGCCUUAUAAAUAGGAAUCUUUCCUGAAAAAAUAAACAAGAAUCUUACUACUACUAACUGGAGGCUCCUUUUGAAGUCUCUACACGAAGCCACCUAGGAAUCCUAAGUGGACAUUCUAGAAAAAAAGAGAAAUCCUAGAAAUUCUCCCAAAAAAGCAAAACAUCUAGCCAUUAAUUCAGUAGGCUCAAUCAUCAUAGUCAUUGGAUCUAUUAUAUUUUCUAAAAAAUUAUAUACCUAUACCAUUAUGAAAAUAGUCUAAAAGUAACCCCUAAAUCUAUAUCUAAAUUACCCACCUCUGCUAUUAUAUGAAAUAAAUUAAAGUAACAUCCUAAUAUUUAUCUAAAUUACCCACCUAUACUAUUAUAAAAGUAAUUUAAAAUAACUCCUCAAAUUUACAUCUAAAUUACCCACCACUAACAAUAUAAAAAAUAAUUAUAUCCAAAUCACCCACAUAUGCCAUUAUUAAAAGUUUGAAUCCAAAUCAUUUUCAUUAAAAGUAUACUAGAGGUACAUCAAUAUAUGAUUUUAAAUUACCUAUUCUUACACUACUGGUAUAGAAAAUAAUAAUU